ACGAGAGGAUUCUGGGCCCGGAACUUUGGGCCCACACUCUUCAAGUCUGAGGAUUAAUCCUCUUCUAAGGGGUGGGUAAGCCUCUGCUGGUUGAUUACAAAUGUUCCAGAUAGAAAUCUUUAAGGCAGGAACUUUGCGAACAACAAAAACAACCACAGAAAAACUCUAUAGAAGGCCUUACCUUAACUCAUUACUUACUCAACUUUGUGAAUUUUGAGGACUUAAUGAGGCAUUUUAAAUAAAGAAGAAGUUACUUAAAGGCUAAGGAUAUGUGGGACCAGCUUAAAUUGGGCAAUGAGAAACCUAAAUUGCCCUUUCAGAAUAUUAUUCACCCUAUAAAAACAAAGCGUAUUUGUUCCCAGUAAACAUGUCAGGACAGCAGCUGGAUAAGACAAGUGUAGACUGGUUGCUGUCCAAUCUGCCAACUUUCGGAUAAAAGACCGGGAUCUGAUAAGUGACAGAUUACCCUGAGAACAUUUGCGGCGGGAUCGUUUCUGCUUCAUCAUUUCAGUGCCAAACGUACAUGCACUGCACACCUAUCAUGUACCAGGAGCAGAGUGUGGUGAUUCAGAGUGUAAUCCUGGAGGCAAAACAACUUGGGAUGGAAUCCAUUCCCACUACAUGUUAGCUCUGUGACCUUGGGUGUCUGGGCUCCGUGAGAAGUUCUAAGCCCUUCCCCAGGAUGGAGGCUUCACCUCUCCGUGGAGAUUCCCAGUCACCCCUCUUUGCCAGAUCACUGAUCUUCAAAUUGCACUCCUCAGACCCCUGCAGGUUCAGCCAAGUUCUCCUGUCUUGAGCUCUUCCUGCUGAAAGUCUUCACAUAAAAAUGAACACAUAUGUCUGCUGCCUGCAGGGGCAGAGAUGUGCCUUAGCCGUGUUUGUCUGCCCAGCACUAGAGCCUUGCCUUUAUUCAGCAUCCACACAUCUGAUGAUUGGGGGAAAUAAGAUGAAAAUGGGUAAGGAUUCAGAAAGUCUCACCCUGAUGAUUUGGUACCCCAGAAUGUCUCUACAUGUGUCUAAGCAGUUCCCUUUCUCUGAGCCAGCCUGCCACAUGGAAGACCAGCGUGCAUAAUUAAGUAGGCUGGCAAGGCCUUGUCCCCAUCUCCUUGGUCCAUAUUUAAUUCAAACAAAUAAACGCUUAGGAUCUUUUAAAGUCUCCAUUAGUAGCCCCUUCUUCUGUUUCAAACACUGCCACGUGUUUGGGCUUCUCUGUCCCCAUAGUGAAAAUGAGCUUCCAGGGCCAGCUUUCUGGCAGGCAGGAUGGACUGAGCCAGAGCCGAACCUAGAGAAGAAGGGGUCAGGAAGGUGAAGACAGGAAUGCUAAAGACAGACAUGCUGUCCUCUCACUUUGCCCUUUUUGAAUCAUCUUCAGAACAACAAACAAAUAAUUUCUUUAUGUUUCUGGUUAGGUUCUCCCAUAGAUUCAUCUUCCACAUGUGCAGCUUGAUGUUCAAAAGCCUUUUGUCGGGUUCACCUUUUUAAUGUGUGCUGACAACUGCCCACUGCUUGGCUGAAAUAGAAUUCCCAUCUCCCUGCACCAUUACCCAUACUUGCCUCUAAUGGAGAGUAAAACACAAGUCUGUUCACUCACCUCUUCCAGACCAGUUCCCCUGGUGCCCACUGAUCAAGGUUAGGUGGGUGUUGGCCAGAUGAUCCUUGGAAGCCAAAGGUCUCAGCAACUGUGCUCAGAGAGGGGGGGAGGGUCAGACUGCUAAGGUAGCCUGAUGGAAAAGGAGCAAAUGAAAGGAGCUGAUGGGGGUGAGGAAGCCAUUAACCUAAUGAGGAGAUGCCUGUGGGAACUGACAAGGAUAGAUCUGGCAGGGAAGAGGGAAGGAGGUAAAAGAGUAGCAUCCUGUGCCCUCCUCCUGAGGAAGGGGAUGAGCUGAACGUCAGCAGUUCCAGAGGAAACAAGGCUCCCAACUUCACGGCUUGGUUUGUUUUGAGUGUUACCUUCUUUUUAAAUGCAGUUCAAACAAAAUCUUGAGUUAUCAUUAUCAUUUGUUUUGACCUGAAAAGAUGCUGUAUGUUUGUGAUCAGAAAUGAGAGCCUGGAAACUGAGAAUAGGUUUUAAGUAUGCUGGGAAGUGUCUGGUCUCCUCAGUUCUAAGUCCCAGAAGGAGGUAGGGAAAUGCGGGUAGGGAGGGCAUCUAAGCAGGGACUCAUGAAACCAAUAGCAAAGUGGGAGGUCGAAAGACAUGGGUGCUUUCAAGAGGAACAGGCUGAACUCAAACAGUACUGUUUUCUAAACUGCCAACUUGUUUGAGGUCACUCAGGGAAAAUAUGCUUGCCGACUGUGUGCUCCUUUAUGUCUGGAUCCAUAAGACAUACACAUGCAUGAAUUUUCAUGAUAUCUGGCACUUUCUUCCUUGAGCUUCAUUCCUUGUCUAUUGAGCCAUUUUGAACAGAUAUCUUUCUAAGGCAAAGGGUAUGCAUUUCUUGCCAGGGCAUUGCACCAUAGACACAAAGUGAGACGCUGGGACCAGGUCCUUUUAGGCAAGGCUUAGAGGAUAGUACCGGAGCACUGAUAAGCCAGGGCUCAGCCCAGACCCAGGAUAAGGGCUGGUCCUAAAAGUUAGAGCAGGCAAAAGACCAUCCCUCUAGGGAGUCAGGUAAUGUCUGCAGAUUGGAGGGGUCCUAGGGACUGUGUUAGUCAUGAAAGAACCCUCCACCUGCUGCCUAUGCCGAGAAUUCUAAGGGAGCUCUGCAGGUGAGACUCUGUUCCAGGCACUGGCCCCAAAUGACCACCUGGAGCCUUUGGCCCUGAUGGUCCUGAAUGAGGAUGGACCUCAUGGAGCAGAGAGGAUUCUUUUCCCAGAAUGGGCAGACCCAACUGGCCUCAGUUAAAACCAGACUAAUGGCUUCCUUGGCCCCUGAUCUUGGCCCUCUGGAUCAUAUUACUCUUAUGGUGAAAAGGGUCAGGAAUGAUUAAUCCAAAAAAAAAAAAAAUCUGUUUACAGAAAGAGCACUUUCCUUAAGGCUCAGAACAGAUCCGGCCUGAGCAACCCACUACCAUCUUGGAGCUGGAGGGCAAUGGCAGGCCCAGACCCAUCAACUCUGCCCCAGUCCUCUCCUGGGAACUUCAAGGGGGAGAAAGAAUGAAGAAAGAAGAUGACCCAAAGUCAAACCAAGACCACAAAGGUGCUAGAGCUUCUAAUCUCCUUGCUCUUUACCCUGUAAGUUUACCCUGAUCACUGGGACCUAAGAAGGUCAUUGACCUGACCCAUAUCAACCAUCUUGUGCUCAGAGAGAAUGGAGAAGCAGCUCGGAAGUGCUGCAGCUGGAGACGGCAUCUGAGCAGCAGGACUCUACAUCCCAGACAGUCAGACGUGCGUUCCUUACCACCCUGAACACUUGUCACCCACUGAGUGUCAGGCAUUUGCUGUGUAUGAAGAUUCUAAUACAGAAUCUUUGCUGCAACCUUUGAAGGAUUCCUAUCAUUGUCCUGCCUUUUAUAAAUGGAGAAACUAAGACUCACAGAGAUGGAGGAAUUUGCCCAAGGUCGGAUAGUGUGGGAUGUUAGCUCCGAAGCUCCGCUCUUACUUUUGCAAUAUAUUUCCACCUGAGUGGAGGGUGUGUGAGCAGAGAUGAACAGGAACUUCUAGGAAGCAUUUCCUGCCUGAGCCAAAGAUAACUCCAACCUUUCUUUGUCAUCCAAGAACAUCAUUGUGAAUGCCCUCUAUUGAAAUGCAUUGGAACUCAGUCACACUCCUUGCAGUAUGUGAUCCUGUUCGCCCCUACACCAAAUGUCCCCAACCAGCUGUGUAUUUACUGGUGGUUUUCUUUCUGGCACUGCUGGCUGCCAUCUGUGUUUCUCAGCAGCUUCCACUCUUUUCAGUCCCUUCACGCUCAGCCACUGUGAGCGGGCCUGAGGAUGGCUCUGCUUUUCCUAUGAGUUCAUGGGAGCUUUUAGCUGCUCAAAGACCUUUCCUCUGAUUUCAGUAUUCAUAGCUAUGCUCUGAAUGGCUGGAGUCACCAAAUACCUGAUUUCAGCAUCACAGAGGUACUUCUUAUCAACAGCUUACUAAUCAAAUUGGGCUGUCAUAUUCAACUGUGUAUUACUUAAACUUUUAAUUUUAGAUUUACAGAAAAGCUGCAAAGCUAGUACAGAGCCGCCCUGUACUCUUUACCCAGCUUCUCUUCAUGCUGUCACCUUAUAUAACCACCGGACAUGUGGCAAAACUAAGAGAUGAAGAUCGUUUGCAUAUGUACUUUUAAUAUGCUACAGGAUGUCAACACUGUGCUAUAUAACAGAUAUGCUGAUCUUCUAUAUGAUCUCACCUGUAUACAACAGUCUCGGAGGCCAGUUUCCUCUUGAUGCCUCAGGUUGUGAAGCUCUUUGUGAAAAGGUAUUCUAUUUCCCUCUGUCCCACUGGACAGUUUACAGCUGUUGCAAAUCCAAACCUUUGAUCCUGUUAGUUUUUAUUUUAGAGCUGAAUUAAGAGAAAGGAUGAAAUGUACUUACAGCAAAAUAGCAGCUAAGUACUUAAUUUCACUAGCACUGGUUUGAUUUGUAUAUCAGGUCCUCAGGUGUGUGCCCAUGGGUAAAUACUAUUUACUUGACUAAUUAUGAAGAGUAAAUGUCUCAGUUGCUGCUGCAUUCAUUUCAUUUUACCCAGUGGAUAAAAUCCAUCCUGAAAUUUCUCUCUUCCACAGAUUUCAGAAAACUCAAAUACAGCCAUAGUGAAAUGUGAUUAUUUCUAAGGAGAACUGUUAGAGUGAGACCACUGUUACCAGUUCUUAUGUAGCAUCUGUGUACCAACUAGAUAAUACAAACAUAGACAACAAGAAGGCUUGAGAGAGAACAGAAGGAGUGAGGGGAAGAGAGAAGAAGAGUUAUUUUAAAGUCGUUGAAUCAGAAAAGAAAUCAGGAAUGAAGACACACAGCAAUGAACUUGUAAGAAAUCCAAGUGGCAGAAAAUGAGGAAAGAGGAAAACCAGGAGACUUUGUGAUCCUAGGUCAGGUCCCCUGGAAUCAAAUUCUGAGAUGGAGAUUUGGGAAGAUCUCAGGAAUAGCACCUUUAAGGAAGUGAGGGAAAGAGGAGUGGGCAGAGGGGGAAAUUCAAAUGUGAUGCUGCUGCAACAGAAGCCUCAGCCCCUCCAGUCCAACUGAGGGCUCUGGAGCUGGGAUGGUCCUUUAGAGUUUUCCCAAAUUGAGGGGGGGGGCUGGUCUUUGCACCCUCACAUUAAUCAAUGCUUGCACAUGGCCUAUCACUGGGAAGGGGCAUAAGUUUGGGCAAGGCAGUUUGCCCAUCUAAGGGCAAUUUCUGGAGAUGGACUGAGCCCCAAGAUGUCAACCAUCAAUGCUCCUGACAAUUGAGAGAAGGAGCUUCUUGGCCCCGCCAAGGGAAUCUGGAUAGCACACCAGAGCAUCUACUACAUAUGGUAUCCUCAAACCAAGAGAAGAGAAUGUUUCAAGAAAGGAGUGGUCAAAUGUAGGGAAUAUUCCUGAAAGGUUGGCUUAGACGAGGAUAGAGACAAACCAAGAGAGAUGUCUUGGUGACCUUACCAGAGCAACUUUAGUGGAACUGAAAAGAUACAAAUCCAAUUGAAGGGACUGAGAAGAAAAUGGAAGAUGAGGAAAUGGAGAUAGCAAUACAGAUAAUUCUUUGGAGAAUUUUAUCAGGCAACAGGAGUGGAGAGAUUAGGUGUUAAAUGGAGAAAGACAUGGGGCCAAGGGAGGUUUGUUGUUUUAAGUUGAAAGAUACUAGAACAUGUUUGUUUCCUAACAAACAAAAUGUCAUGAAUGAUGGGAGAAAUUGAGAUGCUAGAGAGGGAGGGGAUAGUCACAGGAGUCAGUCCUGGCGAGGGUGAGAAGGAGCAGGAUGCAGGGCACAGUUGGAGGGGCUAGCCUGGGAUAGGGACAGGGGUACAUCACCCGUAAUAGUAACGGGGUAGGCCGCCAGUGGCUACUAGAUGACAUUCCCUCUCUGCCUAUAUGUCUCAGAAGAGAGGAGAGACAUACCAGGCCUAAAUGGAGCCAUCAGAUUCCCUUUCCCUGGAAUCUGGACAAGGGAUUAAUGACAGAGGUUCAACUGCGAAUGUCUCGAAUGGUGAUUUGAACCCGGGAGCCAAGGAGUGGCCACUUUCUAUCUUCCACGUGUUUAAGGAAGUGGAGAGAGCAUGAAGCAAGUGCUUUAGAGAUGAGAAAUGAGAGAGGUUUCUAGUGACUUUGAGAAUCCAGAGUGGAGGACAGAGUGUUAUCUAUGAUAGGAGCACUGCCUGAUUGAUCAUGCAGUUAGCCUCAGUCCAGAUACCCCCGAAGGCACCCUUGAUUUAAGCCAGCCUUCCGCAGAGAGCUACUCUGCCACGUGACUCAGGCCCUUUUCUACAACUGUACCAUGGAUUUUGUACAAAAAUGUUCCUUCCAGUGCCGUUCCACUAGAGGAAAAACUGAAUGCAACAAAAUGUGAAGCCAUAAGAGACAAUUAAGAUAAAUGUGAUCUAGUUCUUCAAUGAAUAGUGUCUAGCCAUUCAAAUUGAUUAUUAGGAAGACUAGAUAGAAACAUAAAGCAAAAUAGGACACUGAUUUUAAUGCACAUUAUUAUGGCAUUGCAAAAAAAAUGCAUUUGAGAAAGAUGGGGAAAAAUACACCAAAAUGGUAAUAGUAGUAAUGUGUUAAGGUUAAUGGGAUCAUGUGUGGUUUUCCCUAAUUUUGUCUAUUUUAUUUCUAAAAUGUGGCUAUUUUAUGUAGACUAUUUAAAAAACCUCUUCCUCCUAAAGCUUACACCUGAGCAGUUUGGAUAGUUUCUGGGUUGCCCUGGAGUCAUCACAGAUCAUAUGCCUAAAAGAAAGGAAGGAGUCAGCUCAAGAAUUGGGAACAGAGAAGGCUGUUGGAGGCAGUGGUUGUUCACAUCAAAGGGGACGCCUACCUGCUGGCUGGGCGCAUGAAUUACAGUCUCUCAAUAGAACCAAAGAGGAGAACUGGGUGACCACUUAAGCACAAUCAGAUCUUGCAGCCUGUUCCCAUUGCGGAAAUACUGCCAUGCAAAAGCUAUGAAAUGGAUGAAGAGGCUAGGCCAUGGCCUGCCAAUGAGCACAGGUGGUCGGCUCCUGGCCAGGCACUGCCCUCCCUCGGCUCCUCCUGGUCCAUUGGCUGGAGCACCUCGCCCUUCCUCAACAACUCUCCUCCUGAAAGCUCCCAAGGUUUCAUUAGGAACCACACUACUCGCUGACCCUGAACUUCAUCUUUGCUAAGUGCCUCCAAAUUAUCUUAAUGAAUAUUCCCCUCCACCCUGCGAGAGGUCAGCUCUGGGCCGUCCUGUGACUCUUCUUUCCAGGUGAGGUACAACAGGUCACUAAGUGCCUUGCUCCAAGACCGCCUAGGAGAAGACCUGGAACAAGAACUUUGUGUUCCUGGGUUCAGGACGUUCUUAGCUCUCUGAGCCUGGCCAAUGCUUCAGGCCAGUGGGAACUGAGAAGAGGGAGUGGUGAAUGGGGAAUGAGGACUUGUGCUCCCAGCUCUGCCCUGAGUGAGCAACCAUGCGCCCAUGUACCCACUCACUCUCUGAGCUUCCUAUUGUUAGACAUCCAUCAAGCCAUAUAUAUUCCUCCAGCUUAAUCUCCCAGCCUGUACCAACAGAGGCCAUGGAAGAAUGGACUGCUACGGGUUUAAGUUCAUCAAAGUGAUGGGACACCCACCCCAGAGGCUAAAAUAUGAAUUCGCUAUUGGCCCUGUGCUCAUGGAUAGUAAUUAGCUAAGGCAGAUAGAGGCGUGUUGGCAAUAAGUUCUCCCCAGAGGGCAAAGGAAUGUGAGAAAAAUGUGAGGGGAGAUGCCCACUCAUAGAGGACCAGAGCUAGUUAUCAAAGAAACAGAAAUUACUUACUUUAUAGUAAAUAUUAAUAUUUAAUGAGUGGCUACUACGUGCAGGCCCUGUGCUAGGUGGUAUGCAAAGCUGGAACAGUCAAAUGGUCCACGAUUCAGCUACCCACUGUCAGGGACCACCAGGGAUGCUGGCCAGGUGGGCUGAUGUCCUGGUGUAGUCCCGGGGAGGGUUUGCACUAGACUGGGUGGUUCCCUGACAAGUCCAGGUACAGGCAGAAGGCAGGUGCAGAAUUUGUGUCCAUGGAAGUGUUCCCGGGGUCACACACACUAGUGGGUAUAUGGCAGAGAAGCCAAAGGAGUUAGCUUCGGCCUCAUUACCUCCAGCUCACCCUUCAGUUUUCUGCUUCAAUGCCAUUUCCUCCUCGAAGCCACCCCUGACUCCCAGGACUGUACAUUCCCCUGUUACAUACUCAGACUGUAAUUGUAGCAUUCAUGAGUGUGAGUGUUUGAUUAAUGGCUGCUUUCCAUAAAAAUAAGGAUGGGAGUCUCUUUAUGAUCACCAUUGUACCCUCAGCCUGGCACUAGUAGGUUCUUUAUAAAUAUUUAGUGAGCCAAUGUCCUUCAUAACACUCACCACAUGAUAAGGAUGUAAGUGCUUAGGGGAUUAUUUCUCGACUGUCUUCUUCAAUGCUAAACUUUCAGUCCCAAGCACACAGGAAUCUCCUUUAUCUUGCUCUCCAUCACAUAUAUCCCCAGCAUCAGCACAAUGCCUGCACAUGGUGGCACCCAAUAUUAGUGGCAGGAAUAGAUAAUAAAUGAAUAAACAAACAUGAACAAAGUUCCACAGAUCUAGAAACGGGUGGGAAAAGGAAGACAACACUGAGAGGAUAGGAGUCAAAUAUGCCCAAGAACGGAGCCAGGUGUGCGGAAAGUGAGACAGUCUAGAAUUUGUGACUGAGUGGGCGUGGGCAGAUGCUCCUUUCCAGGUGCUGACGGGGUGGUGUGUGUGGUUAAGGGAACAGGGAAGGCAGGUUGCCAGAUUCAAGAUGAUCACCAAGUCCCAGGGCCUCUUUACCCUAGAGGAAAAGCUAAGCCACUCAUUUCCCACCCUGCAAAGUGUAAAGCUGGCAUCCUUUCCUUUUGAGAUGAAGCCUUGACCUCCUUAAAGGUCUGGGGAACAGGGAGAUAUGGUUUAGCACCUGCAAGAUCAGGUUCUACAUAUGAGAGUGGACCUAGCCUCUUGGCUGGGUGCUUCAGGGCAUCUUGCUGAAUCCUUCAAUCACCAAGGCCUGACUAUGUUAUGUUGUUAGCUUCAUAUCUGGUUGGUAGAGACCUGAGCAUGCAUCAUUCUAGCUUCUGCUGGGACUUCCAAUUCUUCUUCUUCCCAGGCAUGAGUGCAGAAGGGCUCAGGGAAGGUAGCAGAAAGGUGAGUGAGCCUGUGAUCCACAACACGGUUACUAUGGAAGGAUGUGGGCCACCUGAAAAGCUGCCCGAGGCAUCUCUUAGCUCCCUCUUUGCCACAGUCUCUCUCUCUCUGGAUCACCAGUCAUACUUGCGAGAGUUGGCUGCUAAGGCAAAGACUCUCCUGGAAGUUAAGAAACUGCAGAGACAGUGUGAGGAUUCAGGAAGUAUAAACCAAGUUCCAGAUGGGAAUUGCUGGAACAGUCUUUUCUUUCCGGGCCACCUCCUCCUCCCUCCACUACCAUCUUAAAACCUGUUCUUAGGGGCUAUUUUUCAUAAAAUUCCUUCUUAUCCCAACUUCUGCUUCCGACUUUCCUGGUCACCAAAAAGGCAAAGGAGAGCAGUGAAUUUUUAAAGCAGCUGCCCAGUCCCCACCCCAACACAUGCGUGCACACACACAGAGACACAUGUAUACAUGCACACACACCCCUAGAAAACCCUUUUCCAUUUUUAGCAGAUAAAAAGUGAAAGGAGAAUGCAGGCUGUUGUGAUGACCUGUCUCAUUGCCUGGUCGAUCCAGUUGGGCAUUUGGGGUGGGGACUGAUAGAUUUUAAAACAGUGCCUCAAAUUUUAAGCUGGCUGCACUGUGACUGACUCAAUCUUGCUGCAAAAACAAGGCUUUUGUCACCAAUACUUUGCAGGGCUCCUUGGAAGGUAGAAGUAGCAUGACCUGUGCACAGCUUGUCUGGGGUAGUUUUUAACUUAUUUGUGCUAAUUCUACCAGUCUGAGGGGACAAACCAAAAAUCUUCCUUCUGCAUGUGUGUGUAUAUGUGUGACUAUUCUUCUGUUUCGUACUUCAGUGCAAAUCACCCAAGAAAAUGGUCUAGGUACAUUUACUUUACUUAUUUUUUAGUUCUAGUGUCAUAAAUGUUGGAUAUCUGCAAGUUGCUCUGAGUUCACUUAAGCCAUUGUCUAAUUUGGCCUUAGUCACAACAACACCAAAAAGUACAUACUACACAACUUCUUUAGUGUUUUAUGGCAGUGAGUAGUUUAUACAUUCAUUCAAAUAAAAUGAUCAUGCUCUUGCUUUUACUUAAAUAGAAGGAUACAUAAAAUGCCAUUUCCAGGUAAAAGUGGUCUCCAAACUUGUAACUCUCAAAAAUGAUCUCAUUCUGGGGCCAGCGUACUGGCAUAGGGGUUAAGUUCGUGUGUUCCAAUUUGGUGGCCCAAGGUUCAUGGGUUUGGAUCCCAGGCACAGACCUAGGCACCACUCAUCAAGCCAUGCUGUGGUGGUGUCCCACAUACAAAAUAGAGGAAGAUUGGCAUGGAUGUUAGCUCAGGGACAAUCUCCCCCCAACACACACACAAACAUCUCAUUCUGCUAAUAAACGUAACCCAGCAUACCAGCAUACACAUUUAAGUGCUGGAGGCCAUGCACAGUGGUGGGGGUGACCCAGACAGAGAGCCAACAGACUCAUGCUAUGACCCUGAAAUGCCACUCACCUGCCACCUGUGUGAGCAUGGGUCAGUCACUUAGCCUUUCCGGGCCACUUUUUCCUUCUGUGGCACACAGGGUGCCUGGACGUGAUGGCUUCUAAGGCCCCUUUUAGUUCUGAAAUGUCAUGAUACUUAGAAUAAGGAAGAAAUUUAGAAUCAUCUGUCCAGGGGCCAAACCCAGCCCACUGCCUGAUUUUGUAUACCCCGCAAGCUAGAAAUAGUUUGUAGCUAUUGGUUUGGUUGGUGAAAAAUAAUAUUUUAUGAAAGGUGAAAAUUACGUGAAAUUUGAAUUUCAGGGUCCGUAAAGAAAGUUAUAUUGCAACAUAGCUGUGCUCACUAGGUUAUGUGUUGUGUAUGGCUGCUUUCACACUACAAUGGCAAAGGUGAGUAGUUGCCAUGAGACCAUAUAGCCCAGAAGCCUAAACUACUUACUAUCUGGCCCUUUACAGAGGAAGAUUGCUAGCCCUGAUCUAGUCCAACUGCUUGACAGAUGAGGAAAUUAAAGCUCAGAGUGAACUGACUUGGCCAAAUCCUGGUUCAAAAAGACAAAACACAAUUAUAGAAAGAAAGAUGCAAAUGGCCAUUUUGAAGCAUCCAAAGGGACAAAAACAAUUUAACAAUAAACAGAAGAUUAGGGAUGUAAAAGUCAUUUCUUCCUCAAAUGGCAAAGGAUAAUGUGUUAUACAAGAGUUAAAGACAAAGAAAUUAUGAAACACUUGGAGCACCCUACGUCCAUUUGUACAGAAGAACUGAUAAUUUCUUAAUUUGGAAUCAGAUUACGUUGGAUUGAUGAAGAGGAUUUGGGAAGCAGGCAGAUUACAUCAGAAAUGGCUCAAGAUUCUUCAUGCCGAUAAGACUCCAGGAAACUCACAUCCAGACCCGCUGCAGGAAAUGGAGGUGGACAUUACAGAUGCUUUGGUAGGCCUUUUCAAAGCUGUAGGAGGUCUGGAAGGGGUGAGGCACUGCUGUGACUGGGGAAAGAAGCCUGGAACAGUUCAGGACUUUCCCUCAAAUGGAGGUCUAGAGUCGGAAAAUCCCAAGCCCUCUAUGACACAGAGACUCCACUUAGAACAGCCAGCAUUGUUCUGAGAGCUUGGCCCUUCCUAGCGACAGGGCUCAGGUCCCAGCGGGAUAGUAAAUAGGAGCAAAAUAAGUGUGGAGAUGGCCACAGAUUGAUUUUAGGGAGGAUUAGACAAAGUUCCAUGUGUGGAGGGUAAAGCUCAUCAUCCUUCCUUUCACACAGGAGGACUGCCCUUUCCUGGGAAAUUACUGGUGGCGCGCAAUUCUAGCCCAAGCACAAACAGAGGAGAGAUCUGUACCGUUGUGCCCCAAGAUCUAUACUGUUGGUGAUCAACCAGGUGCCAAACAAUCCUUCUGCAGGAAGGUUCCUAAGCAGUUAAAAUAUAAAACUGAACUUGCUGAACAGAUAAGCUUUACCCUGGAAAUUCAGAUUAUUGGCGACACACAGUAUAUGUACCGCUGGGUCAGUGAGAGUCGGAAGGGUGCUCUCCAAGUUUAACUCAGUGGUUAGUGGCUUGAGCUUGCCAGAGAGGCUGCCUGGGGUUGCAUCCAAAAUCUACUGCUUGAAUUCCCAGGUAACCUUGGGCAAGUUCCUGAACCUCUCAAGCCAGACUCUCUUCUUCUGUAACAACAACAACAACAACAACAACAACAACAAUAAUAAAAGAAUGAUAAUAGUAGUACCUACAUGGGAGCUGCUGUGAGUAUUUAAACGAGACUAUCAAUGGAAAGUUCUUGAGAGAGCUGAGCAUUAGUCAAUGCUCUUAAAUGCCCCGCUUGCUGUUGGCUGCAGUGUAUAGCAUACCAACUAAGAACACGGAUUUGGGUGCAAAUAGUUCUGGGUUGGAGUUCCAGCGUCACCGCUGAGUAGACUUGUGACCAUGAGCACAUUACUUCAACUCUUCGAGCUUUAGUUUUCUUAUAUAUAAAAUAGCGAUAAGCAUAGUACUUACCUCAAGGGGCUAUUGUGAACAUUUAGUGAGAAAAUAGACUCAAAGUGCUUAGGAGAGUUUCCGGCACCUAGCUAUUAUUAUUUUUAUCAUCAUUAUUAUUCAUUGGUUCCCUAAUAUCAAAAAAUAUUCUGAAGACAGGCUGAAACACAGUAAACCUGAUAUAAAAUGCAUACUUGGCAUGCCGAAGAUAAAGAAUUUUCAGACAAAUGAUUUGAUCAAACGGUGGUAAAGUGGGUUUGGGUUGUCCCGCAAUUCCUCCCGUAAACUGGAGAGACGGGGCACAGGCUCAGGGAAGAUGGCGGAGGCUGAUCCCAGUGGGCCUUUCCCACUGGCCUGGGAUCUCCUUUUGCCUGAAGUCUGCCAUGUUGAGCCCAGAAGGCAGCAUGUGUUCUGGCGCCUUCGAUUUUCCCCUUCGAAAUCACUGGGAUUCUUGCUUCUUGUUUUCCCACCUCCUUUCUGCCAAAUUCUGUGAUUCUUGUUUGCUGUCGGGCUUCUCAACAUUUGGAACAUGUGGCUACAAUACCACUUCGUGUUCCAAGUAAAAUGUAAACAUCUGUCUCCUCCUCUUUAUCAGCAAGAAGAUAGGAACAGUGGCCUCUGGAGAGGAGAGCACUCUUUAAUAUCUGGCCCAAUCUCUAUUCUCAGUUGGCAGCUCUGGACUUGUUUCCUACCAUUAACAGAUUGGUUUGCUUAUCUGAUAUUCCCCAGAUUAAAUUACCGCUUCCACAGUGAUGGGGCUUGACAAACCUGCUUUUCCUAUUACUCGCUACCCACAUCCUUUCACUUCUGCUAACUCCUUCACAAUGAACAGAAGGGAGCCUAUCUUCUGAGAUCAGGAAUUACAAGAACAUGUGUUAUAGAUAUCAGUGGUGUAUCGUUUAGCAUACAUUGUGCUAAGGCCAAGGUGUUGCUUCCGCUCAGUUUCUUAAGAACUGAGGGUCUCUUCACCCAAAUAAACCAGAUUAGAAGGUUUGGUUUUUGUUCUGCUUUCCCAUGUGCCCAUAUGGAUGGGCCCCUGGGGAAUAAAUAACGCAUGUAACUCAAGCCCUGUAUUCAUAGGUCCUUUCCUAUGAACCUAUGGGAUCCGCGGCAUCAGUUUCUCCAACCUUUUCAUUUUACUGACGAGGAAGUCAAGAAGUAUGGUGAUAGUUGGAUUCUAGCCCAGCCAAGACAGGAGCCCAGGUCUCCUGACUCUCAGGCCACCAUUCCUUCUUCCUUGUAGCUCUUGUUGCCUUCCAUGCUCAUGGCUGGAGUGGAUUUUCCUUGGUGCCUUCAGAAGAUUGUUCUAUGCAGCCAGGACUCAUUUGGGGUGAGCCUAACCUGUCUUCCUACCCUUGGGUCCUGGCUAAUGUUUGGUCUUCUCUGUGCAUGCCAUCCUCUGUUGGACCUAAACAUUGUCCCUAGUUGCUUGUGGUCAGGACAGAUGCUGAUUUGUAGUGAGGGACUGGGCUGCGUGAAUUGGACUGGGAGACGUAGCAUGGAGCGUGAAGUCUCUGCAUGUCCUCUCAGCUUGGGUAGGGCCCAGAACCCAUGUCCCAGUAGGAGGCUGACUCUGAGCUAAGUCAGAAACAAAGCAGCCCUCAGGGCUUGGGGCCCACCUACUGCCCUCCUCUCCAGAAGCCAGAGUCCUGCAAGGCCAGUCUGAUGGGUGCCCAGAUGACUUUUACUCAUGGUUGUGGUAGGUUGAAUCAAAGGGUGAAUAUCAGGAUUGUGUCGCAAGAAACACUGAUAUUUGGCUGCAGUGGUGUGUACAAAGUAGGUGGCUAAAAUAGGAGCCCUGAGGGGAAUGUCAGGAAUCAAGGUACAAAAGGAUAUCAGAAAACCAGACAAGAGCUCCUGGAGAAUGUUUGUGUGAGCAGGACUGUCUCAUCUCAGCAGAGACAACAUAGGCAUCUGACUUCACCUUCCUUAUGGUUUGUUGAGGAAGAUGUUAUUCUCCCCAUUGUAAAGGAGAGGAAAGUAAGAUUUGGAGAAAUUAUUUGCCAAAAUCACAAAGCUAGUGAGCAUCAGAGUCAAGACUGGGAGCCAGGUCUUCUGACGCCAAAGCUCAUGUUCCAUCCAGGUCCCAGGCUGCCUUUUAGAAAAGUCCAUCCACAUUCACCAGAGGGCUCUGAUUGCCAUAUGUGGUGUGGCAUUCUGCAGUCAUCCAGUCAAACACGCAAUCCUAGGCCUGGAUAGGUGUCACUGAUCAUCCAGUCCAGCUCUAAAUACAGUGAUCUCCUUUGCCACGGUGGUUCUCAAAUCAUGCCUUGAAGAGGGGUCUCAGGGACUUCAUUGGAGACAGAGAAGGAGGAUGGGCACAGGUCACCUGCUGCCUGCACCCAUUCUCCAAGCUUCUACAACCAUUCCUUCAACUAGAGCUGCUCCAUUUCUAUGGGUUGGGAUUGUUUGUUUGAAAAGGGUUUCAACAACCUCUGUUCUUUCAGAGACUCCAGCUUUUGGUUCAACACCUUGCAUGAGAGGGAAUUCACAAACUAGAUGUGCUCCAGGGGCCUCUAGAGUUAAGUUGAUGAGGAUGUCUGCGUGGUGCCCGUGAAACUGUCUUCUUGGUUGAAAAGCCCUGCAGUGCCAACAGAAGUGUGAUGUUCUAAGCUUAGUGCACCCACAAAAGUUAACAGCUGCCUUAGAAUUUCCUCACAUUCAUUUGUUCACUUGAGAAUAAUUAAAUUAGAACCAUUGUACAUCUGGGCCAGAAAUCUCGCUUUCACAGAAGCUGCAGUAGAUACUGUUCCGGGACAAACAGGACAAUCUCUCUGAUGUUACCCCCAAAAGACCAAGGAAGGGCACCACCAAAUCACAGCUAGUGAUUUGUCAUGCAUGAACUUAUCUAAACUUUUUAAUAAUGAUGCUAUUUAUGUUUUUGGUUUUCAUUUCCUCUUGACAUAACAAGUUCGGUAAGUUGCCACCAUCUGUUCGCUUCUUUUUCCUUGUCCUAUAUUUACCUUCUUGCACUUUUCAGGGGUACCCCUAGGCAUUGUGUGUCGGUAAGCAAGCUCAGCCUGAUCCUCCUGAAGCACCUGAAGCAGUUGAACAAAUAAUUCUUGAACUGACAGUCUUGACAAGUGACAUCAUUGCAAAUGCAUAUUGGCUCAGGUUUUCAGUCCCUUAAACGCUUAUCCUCACCAGUGUUCUGACGUCCCAGACAUGCAGAGCAGCUUUUCUAUUCCUUAGACAGCUGAGCAGCUGGAGUAUUUCUGAGCAGCUGGAGUAAGGGAUGUUGGCUAUUUCCUCUCUUACCUGAGUUCCUUCACACAUGCUUGCCUUUAUCACUCUAGUCAACCAUAUGUACAUUUAGAGAAAUGCAGACAAUCUAGUAUCUUUUGAUAUUGAGGCUAGAAAAUUUCAUUCUGAUCAUUUCUGCACAAAUUGUUAGUAAUUCCAGAACUUCUCUGAUGCUUUCUAAUAUUAUCUACUACAGAUAUGCCUCACUUCAUAGGCAUUGUGAGGGAAUAAGGUCAUAGUUCUGGAUAAAGGAGUUUAGAGAACUAAGAGUAUAAUUUUUUAAGCUCCAAAGAGUUUUAAAGUUUGUAACCAUUUGCAAUCCAAGUUUCUCCAUGUAGAUCAUACAGGCCUGAGGUUGAAAAUGUGGCUUCACAGACUAUAACAAGUGAUAUUUCUCUGUGCUGGCCCUUUGCUAGAAGGGGUGGUGGUGGCCAUGAAGAUGAGCUGCUUAGUUCUCCUGCCGUGAGAGAAUGAUUGUUUGACAGCUCCAACUGCUGCCCCUCUGGAUCACUGGUCACAUACGUGCUACAGACGUGUUUCCCGUGGACUAUUCCUGACCAAUGACUAAGCAUGAUGGAGUUCCUGAGCACGGCGGGACAGGGACUCCUCAACUGGGAGAUGUUGGCUCAAGCUCUCUCCAUCAGCCUGGCUGAAGUCUUCUGAGAACUGGCCUACAGCCUGAGCCUCUUCCUACUUACUCCUCCUUCACAGGGGUCAGACAUGCAACAUGGUCUGAAGGCUCUCCCCUCCUUCGCUGGCUCCUUCUUUUUUUCCUUCACAGGCAUUGCCCUCAAUCAGUCCCUUCCACAUCUAAUCCUGUCUGGGUGUCUGUUUCCUGGAGGACUUCAACUAACACAAGACCUCUAGCCUGCUCUCCUUGAAAGUCCGCCCCACCCACUCCCAGCUAUUUCCAGGCAGUGGCUCACAUGUGUUCAUGGACAAGGGCUACACAACACCCAGUCUCUUCAUCCACUCCUGCUCUAUCCUUGGCUUCCUGGAGAGACGCCUGCACCACAGUCUGUGAUGUUCCCACAGCCUCAUGACGUCCCCUACUACUGCUGCCACCUCUUCUCCUAUUUGUGGUUCCCUGGAAACCCACUUCCUGCUGAUGCCACCAGAACUGGGUGCUGAUCUGAGGCCAUGCCCACUGCAGACAGAUGCAUGCAGGCCCAUCUGCUCUGAAGGGUCCCUUACUGUCACUCAUUACAAGGGUCUCCAUGCAGUGCUGACAGGUGCUCCCAUUGUCACAUUCACCUCUCGUGAGAAGAGGUCACUCCAUCUUUACCCACAGUCUCCUUCCCUAUGAACUUAGACUCAGCCCUCAGCUCAAGGACCAGUUCAGUGACAGAUGAGCUAUAUAUAAAAAUGUGCCUCCUUUCUGGUGCUGGAAGAGGCUGACUUUCUUAUUUCUUCAGAUGAAUGUUUUCCUACAAGACUCCUUACUCCUUAGUCCUUCAUUCAGGAAGUCUUCUUAUGAAUCCCCCAAAAUGACUAAAUUCCAGAGUGAUUAAAGCAUAGGCCCAAACUGGGCCCAUCAUAUUCUGUAGUUAGGGUUUUGUGGAUUCAUUUGUUUGUAUAUUUGUUACUUAUGUAUGCGUGUGUGUGUGUGUGUGUGUGUGUGUGGUAUGUAACAGAACUUGUAUAAUCCUUGCUUCUAUCUCUCCUGCCUCAUGACAUCUCCUCAUCUGUCACUUUGACCGAUAACACUGUGUCUGUCUCUCACUAUCUCCGUUACCCUCUCUGCUGCUUCAGCUGUCCACGUUCACCUCCUGAUGCUCUCCUAUUAUUACCAAUAUUUUUACUUGACUAUUCUUUGUCACUGCAUAUUUCAAAGCUUUUUUGGACACUUCUAGGGUUAGGGUUAUAAUAAAAUGUAAAGAGUUACAGAUAUCUGGGUACAUUAAAGUAGGGUUUACAAUGCUUUGUUUGUAGAUGGUACCCAAAUUAGGGAAACAGGAAACUAAAUUAAUCUAAGAUUUACCCAGGGAAGGGUGCUAGAAGUUACUCUGAGUAGGCUUGGCAGAUUUCCAGAACAAAUAAUGGACACAUUUCAUGACACUUUUUGACUGAUAAGUGUACACAUACCAAAAAGAGACACAGGUGUUGCAGCAGACGCGGUCAGUUCUCCACCAGACCCCCUAGGACCCCUGUUUCUGUGUGCCCUUUCCCUGGCUUUGGUGAGCUUUACCUCUCACAGCUUGCAACUCUGACUUUUCUUUGGAAUAUUUCCCUCAAGUUACUGGAACACUUUACUUGCGUAUGCAGAGGGACAGAAGUACCUGGGAUUUAUGCCUCCCCAGGCAACACUUAUCUAGUGAUUAACAGGUUUGGGAGUAUGAAAGCCCAGCUCCCUUGCCUCCAGUUGGGACAAAUAUGAAGCAUAAUUUUAAAAUCAGAGCUUCUCUGAUCAUAUUGCAGCAUCAUUCCUCCAAGAAACUUUGCCAGUCAUCACACCCUUGUUCGGCUUCUUCCACUUCCCAUGCUCUUACUGGCCUCCCCUGGGAGCACUUCCUAAAUAAAUGACUUGGUCAUGAAUCUUCAUCUCAGAGUCUGCUUCUGGAGAACCCAACUGUACUAGGUUGAACAAUGUCCUGAAAAAAUUCAUGUCCACCUGGGACCUGUCAAUGUGACCUUAUUUGCAGAUAUAAUCAAAUUAAGAUGAGGUCAUACUGAAUUAGGGUGGGCCCUAAAUCCAAUAUGACUGGUAGCCUUAUAAGAAAAGGAAAAUUUGGACACAGAAACACACACAGGAGAGAAGGCCACAUGAAGAUGGAGGCAGAAAUUGGAGUGAAGCAUCUACAAACCAAGGAAUGCCAUGGAUUGCUGGCUACCACCAGAAGCUAGGAGAGAGGCAUGGAACAGAUCGUCCCUCAGAGCCUCCAGAAGGAAUUGAUCCUGCUAGCACCUUGACUUUGGACUUCUAGCCUCUGGAACUGUGAGAGAAUACAUUUCUGUUAUAAGCCACCCAAUUUGUGGCAUUUUGUUACAGCAGCCCUAAGAAGCUAAUACACCAACCUAGGGCACAAAUAUAAGAUAUAGGAAGUAUAUAUGUUAUAAUCUGUAUUAUAUCUUAUAUUUUACAUGAGAUCAUGAGGCUUUUAUCAAUAUUUAUUUUUCAAAAAUUCAUUUAAUGGAAUCUCUCUCUUAUAUCAAUAGCUAACAUUAUACUUAAUGAGAGAAGCCUAGAAGAAACCCAAUUAAAAAUCAGGAGGAAGACAAGGAUGUCCAUUAUCACCAUUAUUAUUUAACAUUGUCCUGAAUAGUAGAUUUUCUGGCUAAUGCAAUAACAUAAGAAAAAGAAAUGUGGUAUAAAUAUGAGCAAGAUGAGAUAAAUUAAUCACUACUAGCAGAUAUUGACUAUUUGAACACCCCAGGAAAUGAACUGAAAAAUGUUAAGAGAGUUCAUAAAUAAAAGACAACAAAAUCAUACUUAUUUGGAUAAAUUUUAAAAGACUUGCAUAAAUAGAGAUGUAUACCAUGUUUCUGCAUUAAAAACUUAAUAUGGAAAAUUGUAAAUUCUCAAAUUAAUGUAUAAAUUUAAU
ensembl:lncRNA